rnacentral:lncRNA from 1 species
UUGUCGGGGGUGGCCCCGCGGGUGGCCACCUGCCAGGCCCGGGUGGACCCUUGCGCUGGGCUCUGUACAAGGAACCCCUGCUCAGAUGGUGAGGCUGACUGCGACAGCUGCAGGCGCCAUCUCCCACGCUGGAGCUCAGCAGGCACCCGGCUCACACACUGCUGGGGUCUUCAGGUGCCCUGGGCCACCUCACUUACUUGACAUUCGGGAACGCUGAGCCCCUGGGGCUCUGCGCCUGCGUCCCCAGCCCACGUCUCAUCCCCCUCCCCCCGCACCUCGUCUGCGUGCCCGACACUCCCUCCCUUCCAGAGCAGCGCUGACCUUUGUCCCAAGUGAACAGAACGCUCCGGAUCGACUGUCACCACUCUGCCCCUUGGCCUUGUUGUCACUGAGGCCUUAUCGCACACCAGCGCCUCUAACCGUGUGAACAUCUGCCACACAGGUGCUCCGGAGAGGCCAGGGCAGGGGAAAGGGGGUGGGGGGCCCGCGAGGGCCUGAGCGAGGACAUGCACCCGCCCCAGCCUGGACCGCUGGUGGGGGUGGCCUGAACACGCAUGUGCUGCCCACGUUUUGUAUGGAAGGCUUCACACAGAAACCCAGACGCCUAGUCUCUAGAAAAUGUGGGGGAAGCGAGCCCAGCUGUGUCUGUGUCCGCAGGGCCACCCAGAGGCGGGGAGCGCCCCCUGGCGACCUCGCUCGCUGCCUCUCCCUGCAGGGCUGAGGACAGGGGACCCUUGACGACCUGUUUACCCAGCGGGGCGUGUGUGUGAACUGAGCGGAGGGACCGAAGUCCACCACCUCCGCAGGAGUGGCCGUGGGUCUCCCCGCAUGCUGGACGGCUCCGGCACCAGCCGGGGCUCUUCCUCCCCAGGCUGUCUUCUCGCCCCCAGCCCUGUGCCUGUGACUCCCUGGCCCGGAAAGCACCAGUCAGCAGGCUACCCUGGACGCGGCCUCUGGUGGGCACAGAUGCCCAGGUCUGAACCCCCAACCCUGCUUCCCCAGCUGUGGGACCCCUGGCAGAGGACUGAACCUCUAAGCCUGGUUCCUCCUGUGAAGCUGAGUGCUGACCACCCCCAGCUCGCAGGCCGCUGGAAACGGCGACGAGCUCUGAGGACAGGGGGUCAUCUCCCUUACCCUCCUGCCUGGGCCUCCACUGUGCUGAGUGUUCUCCCCUCCAGCACAGCGACCAUGUUUCAGAAAACCAGACCUCAACCCAACUGGCGUGGAGGAAACUUCCUCUGUCCUGUGGGACUGUGGACCAGUGACACUGUGGGGCCACACUUCCUUCCCACCUGGGGGGGGUCUGCUCCUGAAACCACCCCUGGACUGCAGCACCCCCCACCAGCCUGA